rnacentral:rRNA from 1 species
UACAGAGGUCCCAAGCGUUGUUCGGAUUCACUGGGCGUAAAGGGUGCGUAGGCGGUCGGGUAAGUCUGAUGUGAAAUCUCCAAGCCUAACUUGGAAACUGCAUUGGAUACUAUCCGGCUCGAGGAAUGGAGGGGAGACUGGAAUACUUGGUGUAGCAGUGAAAUGCGUAGAUAUCAAGUGGAACACCAGUGGCGAAGGCGGCUCACUGGUCCAUUACUGACGCUGAGGUGCGAAAGCGUGGGGAGCAAACAGG